rnacentral:rRNA from 1 species
CACGUAGGGUGCGAGCGUUGUCCGGAAUUAUUGGGCGUAAAGAGCUCGUAGGCGGUGUGUCGCGUCGACCGUGAAAACCUGCAGCUUAACUGUGGGCUUGCGGUCGAUACGGGCAUCACUGGAGUUCGGCAGGGGAGACUGGAAUUCCUGGUGUAGCGGUGAAAUGCGCAGAUAUCAGGAGGAACACCGGUGGCGAAGGCGGGUCUCUGGGCCGGUACUGACGCUGAGGAGCGAAAGCGUGGGGAGCAAACAGG